rfam:Danio rerio chromosome 7, GRCz11 reference primary assembly.
ACAAAGGCUCUUUUAAGAGCCACACAACUCAUUCAUUUAAAGAGCU